CUCGAGGCCAGAUCUAGAGUUUGAUCCUGGCUGAGAUUGAACGCUGGCGGCAUGCCUUACACAUGCAAGUCGAACGGCAGCAUAGGAGCUUGCUCCUGAUGGCGAGUGGCGAACGGGUGAGUAAUAUAUCGGAACGUGCCCUAGAGUGGGGGAUAACUAGUCGAAAGACUAGCUAAUACCGCAUACGAUCUACGGAUGAAAGUGGGGGAUCGCAAGACCUCAUGCUCCUGGAGCGGCCGAUAUCUGAUUAGCUAGUUGGUGGGGUAAAAGCCUACCAAGGCGACGAUCAGUAGCUGGUCUGAGAGGACGACCAGCCACACUGGGACUGAGACACGGCCCAGACUCCUACGGGAGGCAGCAGUGGGGAAUUUUGGACAAUGGGGGCAACCCUGAUCCAGCAAUGCCGCGUGAGUGAAGAAGGCCUUCGGGUUGUAAAGCUCUUUUGUCAGGGAAGAAACGGUAGUAGCUAAUAUCUAUUACUAAUGACGGUACCUGAAGAAUAAGCACCGGCUAACUACGUGCCAGCAGCCGCGGUAAUACGUAGGGUGCAAGCGUUAAUCGGAAUUACUGGGCGUAAA
rnacentral:rRNA from 1 species